AAUAUGCACUAGGGGUGUUUACAAACUGAGAUGGAGUCUUACUCCGAACCCUUUGAACCUGAACUAGAUGGUACUAGCGUAGGAAAGUGUGGACGAAAUCGU
rnacentral:ncRNA from 2 species